GGGAGCAGAGAGUGCAGCCCGCGAAGCCCGGGGGCAGGCUGGCUCUUGGUGCUCUCCGCCGGAGCCUGCCCAGAGCUGGGUGUGAGGCUGGCGUCACGUCAACGAGCAGAGGCGGCCAGGCGGGGCGGAGUGCGCGUGCGCGGCUGGCGGGGCGUGGGAGCGGGCGCGGGGCGGCGAGCACGCGCGCGCGCGCACCCCGGGCAGCCUGGGCGGCCGCUCCUGCCUGUCACUGCUGCGGCGCUGCUGGUCGUUCCCUUGAAGGCAGCGGAGGCGGCGGCGGCUGCUCCAGACACCUGCGGCGGCGACCCCCCGGCGGCGCGGAGAUGUGGCCCUUGGCGGCGGCGCUGUUGCUGGGCUCCUGCUGCUGCGGCUCAGCUCAACUACUGUUUAGUACAGUCAAAUCCGUAGAGUUCACUUCAUGCAAUAAAACUGUGGUCAUCCCUUGCAUCGUCCGUAAUGUGGAGGCGCAGAGCACCGAAGAGAUGUUCGUGAAGUGGAAAUUGAACAAGUCGUAUAUUUUCAUCUAUGAUGGAAAUAAAAAUAGCUCUACUGUAGAACAAAACUUUACCAGUGCAAAAAUCUCAGUCUCAGACUUACUCAACGGCGAUGCCUCUUUGAAAAUGGAUACCCAAGAGGCCGUGGUGGGAAACUAUACUUGCGAAGUGACGGAGUUAUCCAGAGAAGGCAAAACAGUCAUAGAGCUGAAAAACCGCACGGUUUCGUGGUUUUCUCCAAAUGAAAAGAUCCUCAUUGUUAUUUUCCCAAUUUUGGCUAUACUCCUGUUCUGGGGAAAGUUUGGUAUUUUAACACUCAAAUAUAAAUCCAGCCGUACGAACAAGAGAAUCAUUCUGCUGCUCGUCGCUGGGCUGGUGCUCACCGUCAUCGUGGUUGUUGGAGCCAUCCUUCUCAUCCCGGGAGAAAAGCCCGUGAAGAACGCCUCUGGACUUGGCCUCAUUGUAAUCUCUACGGGAAUAUUAAUACUGCUUCAGUACAAUGUGUUUAUGACAGCUUUUGGAAUGACCUCUUUCACCAUUGCCAUAUUGAUCACUCAAGUGCUGGGCUAUGUCCUUGCUGUGGUCGGGCUGUGUCUCUGCAUCAUGGCUUGUGAACCAGUGCACGGCCCCCUUUUGAUUUCAGGUUUGGGUAUCAUAGCUCUAGCAGAACUACUUGGACUAGUUUACAUGAAGUUUGUCGCUUCCAACCAGAGGACUAUACAACCACCUAGGGUAAGCUCAAGUUUAUUAAAUGAAUUAAGAGCAAUUGUUUGGUGGAUUAAAAUGACGACGAGUUGGUGAUUGGAACAUUGGACUGUUUUGUUCUCUGCUUAAUGUGACAUUAAAUUAAGACAAUGCUGAAGUCAUUUCAAGGCCUGUGCAUCAAUAGGUCUGAUUGUCAUAAGACUUACCUUGAGGCAUAUAAGUACUGUUGAGAUAGGAGCAGUGUCCCUGUAAGAUUGUACUCCCUUUAUAUAUCCAGAUUCUAUGAGGAGGAAUAUAGUUAUCUCUUCUAUCAGAAGGAAGCUGAUUCCACUAUGUCUCCUCAUCUGUUGGAUUUGUGUGAUGUGAGUUCACAGAGUGACAGUUUCAAGAAUGACAUUAAGGAAGAGAAGUUUGUGCUAAAUUGACUUCACUAAAAAGUAUAGUAUGUAAGAUAUAUGUUGUUGAAAAGAUCCAUUCCAAAUAAUGACCUAGCAUUUUAUCAGUAUUUUUCCCUCCUAAUGGUUUCAUUGUAUUUGAAUAGCUUCAUAAGGUCUUUGGGAAAAUUCUAAGAAAAAGAGCAAAUUCAGGAGGAAAUGUAUGAGAAAAAAAUUACCAUAUAAACUCACCAUGGUGACAGGCCUGAGAGUUCUUAUGUGGAAUUAAGAUCUGAAGGGGACUGUAUUGUACUCAGCUUCCUGUCCAUAGUGACUGACAGAUAAAUCUGGCAGCCUCUAAGGACACGCCCAAAAGGCGGGUUUGGGCAGAGAGUGUUAAUUCACCUCUGCCUUUUAUUCUGAGGAGACUGGUGUCACAGCUGCGUUAGCCACACGCAGCUAGCAGUUUUCCUAGUGCCUCUUAGAGAUAACCUAAGCAAUGCACCAUUAAAUCCUAACAAUUUUCUUGCUGUUACAGAGUUCAAUUUGCAUGAUGUGAAAAUGAUUCUGCUUCGCUACCAUCUCUUAUUUAACUGUAUUUUCUGUUAUUGCAAUUUGCAUGUUUGUACAUUAAUACUUUUAUAAGGAUUUCUUGAACUGAGAAUGGUGGGUGGAGUGGGGAAUUAUUCACAGGAAAAAAUACUAAGAGAAUAAUACAGUUAUUAUUAAACUAUUAACUGGCCUUGGGAAGCUUUGUUUCAUUAGCUUUUGCUGUCUUAAUUUGCUUUUAGACCAUUGGAUUCUCCACUUAUAAUACAGGUUCAAUGAUAGUGUAAGUUUUAGCAUAAAAGACAUAAAGUAACAUAUAUUUUAUACAUAUAUUUUAAAUAUUUUCCAGAAAGCUGUAGAGGAACCCCUUAACGGUAUGUGAUUAUUAUAAGCUUAGUAGUCUGGGUCUAUUAGCAGAUAAUAAUUUAAACUGAUCCUCAAAGACAUUAGAAUACCCAUCAAUCCCUUGGGAAGAAUCUAGUUUGGGAGUAUAUUUGUUUGAUUGCUUUUUUGUUCAUAUGUUCUCUUGCCUUGAUCUCCUGAUUCUUUCUUGACUCUAAAUCAGAAAUCGGUAGUAUUGCUUUUGUAAUAUUCUCACUGUCCUGUGCUAUCCCAAGUGACAUUUGGGCAAGUGGACCUCUGAGCCUUUUUAUACUGUACAGGAUGAAGUGUCACACCCUCAGUAAAGAAACAUCUCUGUGGCUUCUGAUUUCUAAUUUGUCAAUUUUAGAAAAAUACAGGCUGCCACUAUGGAGUGAUACCAAAAAUGUGUCGCUUACUUUCUGUGUAAAUCUGGAUCUGUAUUCCCCAGCAAGUCUGUUUGCUUUUGUGGAUGCUGUGGGUGUGAGCCAUAGAAAUUGCUUUGAUAGCCUCAAAUGAGACUAGCUGUCUAGUUAAGGGAUACUUGGCGUUGUGUUGUUGCAUAUCUGUUUAUGCUGAGACUGUUUCUAACUGUGAAGUCUUACUAACCUGCCUUCUGACUAACUGCCUGCUUGUUACUAAUCCUCAGCAUUCAAAGAGUCAAAAGGAAUGAUGAAUGACGAAUAAGUGAAGGGAAGCCACAGACUGUAACUUGGAAGUCAGCAGUGCAAGAAUACAGUUGUCUAAGCGCCAUGGCCUUCAUGACUUACUGCUGGAAGGAACAGACAACAGUAACUGACUUUCAUUCAUGAAAAAUGUCAUUGAACCAUAAAUGAUUAUUACAGUUAAGUUUAUAUUCAAAGCAGCUGUAAUUUACGUAAUAAAAAAAUUAUGAUGUGCUGUGUAACCAAUCGAAAUCCAUUUUUCUAUUGUUUCUACUCAACUAGGGGCAAAUGUUUCAGGGGCAACUUCCAAGAAUGAUGCUUGUUAGAUCCUUGAGUCUCUGAACACUGAGUUUAAAAUCGAUUCUGAGUGAGACUCACCAAGCACUAACCUGAGGGUUAGUCACCCAGAGAUACCUACGGAAAAACAGUGGUAUCCAGCAAGCCUUAGUAAACUCAGGUUCCCAGCAGCUUUGCCACUUACGCUGCUAGCUGAAUAACAAGACUGCCACUUCUGGGUCAUAGUGAUAGAGACUGGAGUAGAAAGAGGAAUGUGGUUGGGCAAAUCCCAUGUGGCCCCUCUGUGUGCUAUGAUCUUGAUGGCACUAAUGUCUUCAUUCUUGGGGGUUGCCAUCAUUCACACACACCCUUUGACAUACAGUGCACCCAGAUUUUGAAUACUUUUUUUUUAAAAAAAUAGAUGUGGUUUUCCUUUUUGCACACGACCCUUUGCUCCCUGUCCCGUCCGUCCUGCUACUUUCAUUUGUGUUACAAGAUGUAAUACCUUUUCUCCUCUUUAAACAUGGUCCUGUGACACAAUAGUGUCAGUUGCAGAAAAGAGCCAGACUUAUUCUCAAAGCACUGUGCUCAGACUCUUCAGAAAAAAAAAAAAAAAAAAAAGCUAUGGUUGUAACAUAUGUAUUCCAGACCUCUGGUUUAAAGGCAAAAAAAUAAAUAAAUAAAUAAAUCUGCA